rnacentral:antisense_RNA from 1 species
ACUUAUUUGGUCACUGUGCUCCGUGUAAGCCAGUUACCCUGGUUCAGAAACUUGCCGGUUUACUGAACUUUAAAAAGCCACCUUGCCGGGUGGCUUUUUAUUUU